CAGGCCUAACACAUGCAAGUCGAGCGGGGUGAUGUAGCUCGCUACAUUACCUAGCGGCGGACGGGUGAGUAAUGCUUAGGAAUCUGCCUAUUAGUGGGGGACAACAUUCCGAAAGGAAUGCUAAUACCGCAUACGCCCUACGGGGGAAAGCAGGGGAUCUUCGGACCUUGCGCUAAUAGAUGAGCCUAAGUCAGAUUAGCUAGUUGGUGGGGUAAAGGCCUACCAAGGCGACGAUCUGUAGCGGGUCUGAGAGGAUGAUCCGCCACACUGGGACUGAGACACGGCCCAGACUCCUACGGGAGGCAGCAGUGGGGAAUAUUGGACAAUGGGCGAAAGCCUGAUCCAGCCAUGCCGCGUGUGUGAAGAAGGCCUUUUGGUUGUAAAGCACUUUAAGCGAGGAGGAGGCUACUUAGAUUAAUACUCUAGGAUAGUGGACGUUACUCGCAGAAUAAGCACCGGCUAACUCUGUGCCAGCAGCCGCGGUAAU
rnacentral:rRNA from 1 species